rnacentral:rRNA from 1 species
AUGUGGAAGCCACCCCAGGGUCUCUGGAAAAUGAAGGCACUGCGGGAGGUGGGCUGGGUAUUGCUGGAAGAUGAUGCUGUUGAGGUUGCCCAAGAGGUAGGUGAACUAGAAAAUUUGCAAAGGUUAAGUAUCUACGUCGAUUGUGAGAAGCCCAAUGGUCCCAAGGUUCUUGAAGAGCUUGCCCUGUCCCUGAGUAGGACACACUCUCUCCGAUCGCUCGACAUGGGCACCUUGAGUUAUGAGGCGAAUGCAUUUAACUUUCUCCUUGAGCUCCCGUCGCCGCCACGCCUCCUCCAAAUCCUCAGGAUCGCUGGUGGCAUUGACAAAUUGCCCAACUGGGUCGAAUCGCUCACAUAUCUUGUUGAGUUUCACAUGUCAUGGGCACACUUUAUCAAUGACCAACUAUUUGGGGUUCUGUGUAAGUUGCCCAACCUGAAGAGCAUCUGGAUGCAGCGGAACUGCUACACCGGUCUAGAGUUGGUUGCACGCGCUGUGCACAACUUUCCAGCGCUCAAGAAUCUCAGAGGGACCUGUGAUCAGGAAAUUCCCAGAGUCUGCAAAUUCGAGGAAGGAUCCAUGACAAAGCUCGAGAAACUUUCACUGAAUUUUGACAACUGGAGUGAGAAGAGCAUUGUGGGCAUUGAGCACUUGACAAGCCUUAAAGAGGUGCAGCUCGCAGGUAAGAGAGGGAACCCUGCGCUGGACCGAACUCUGGAGCAGCUAAAGACGGAGAGUGGGAGGCACCCCAAUCAGUUCACAGUUGGAGUGAAGUACGACUGA